rnacentral:lncRNA from 1 species
GGACAAACUUGGCCUCCACAUCCCACGGCUCUCAGUCCCAGACUGCUCACUUUCGCUCUGCCCUGCUCCCCAUCCGUCUUCUCCAACCAAGCCCGGAGCAGGAGGAGCUCAGGAAAUGCGUGGAGGACGAAUGAAUGAAGAUGGCACAGACUCUGGAGCCCAGAAAGUCACCACCGCUCGCCCAGGACUUCUAGUGGGUAGGCAUCAAACUGCAAGUGCGAGUGGUAAGAAAAAGAAAAGGAGUCAGAAGAGGUAUCCCAUUGUGAACUAGAGCACAUGAAUAAUCUUGGGGGUUUUCAAAGUGAAGCCACUAGCUGAGUUUGGAGGCAGGGGUUGAGAGAGCUCAACUGCUCCACACAAUAAAGCAGGAAAGAUCAUUCUGAGGUGGCUGGGGAGCAGCAGCGAGGCCCAGCAACGUGCAGAAGCCUGCUGUGGAUGGCGUCCAGGUGUGAGCGCGGAGCGGCAGUUGAUAGCCUGAAAG